rnacentral:miRNA from 1 species
AUCAAGUUUGGAACAAGCUCUUCAAUGACAACUUGAUUGUAACAAGCUUGAUGGCAUUAUCAGAGGUGUAGCAAAGUUGUUCUAACAAGUUUGAUACAGUUAAAAUAUAACAAGAAUGGUUCAAUUAAGGAUGGCGAUACAAGGUUGUAACAAUAUUGUUAUAUCAUGACCGUGUCGGACUUGUUGGAACAACCUUGCAACAAGCAGUACAAUUUCAACAAGGUUGUUACAAGUUGUUAACAGCUUGUUCCAAGCUUGUU